CAGCCGCCGCGGUAAUACAGAGGGUGCAAGCGUUAAUCGGAAUUACUGGGCGUAAAGCGCGCGUAGGUGGUUUGUUAAGUUGGAUGUGAAAGCCCCGGGCUCAACCUGGGAACUGCAUCCAAAACUGGCAAGCUAGAGUUCGGUAGAGGGUGGUGGAAUUUCCUGUGUAGCGGUGAAAUGCGUAGAUAUAGGAAGGAACACCAGUGGCGAAGGCGACCACCUGGACUGAUACUGACACUGAGGUGCGAAAGCGUGGGGAGCAAACAGGAUUAGAUACCCGGGUAGUCCCUGUCUCUUAUAA
rnacentral:rRNA from 1 species